rnacentral:rRNA from 1 species
AUUGAACGCUGGCGGCAGGCCUAACACAUGCAGGUCGAGCGGAUGAAGGGAGCUUGCUCCUGGAUUCAGCGGCGGACGGGUGAGUAAUGCCUAGGAAUCUGCCUGGUAGUGGGGGAUAACGUCCGGAAACGGGCGCUAAUACCGCAUACGUCCUGAGGGAGAAAGUGGGGGAUCUUCGGACCUCACGCUAUCAGAUGAGCCUAGGUCGGAUUAGCUAGUUGGUGGGGUAAAGGCCUACCAAGGCGACGAUCCGUAACUGGUCUGAGAGGAUGAUCAGUCACACUGGAACUGAGACACGGUCCAGACUCCUACGGGAGGCAGCAGUGGGGAAUAUUGGACAAUGGGCGAAAGCCUGAUCCAGCCAUGCCGCGUGUGUGAAGAAGGUCUUCGGACUGUAAAGCACUUUAAGUUGGGAGGAAGGGCAGUAAGUUAAUACCUUGCUGUUUUGACGUUACCAACAGAAUAAGCACCGGCUAACUUCGUG